AUGGAGCUGAUUUUAAGGAAGAGGUGUUCUUCACUAUUACCAGUUUGGUCAAGAGACUACUCGGGAAUCCCAGCUUACUCUCCAAGCCAAGGCUGUGAUCUGACUGUACCCCACAGAAGGCCUGCACAGCUCACAGAGGGAAGCUAAACAGCCUACUGAAGACUAGUGGUUCUCAGCCUUUAUUGAUCUACAGAUGCCUGCAUAUUUUCCCUUGGAAAUGUAAACACCUGCCUAAAAUGUAAGCCUCUGGUUUUUCAGUUACCUUACAGACCUCUUAAAUGUUGUCCACGGACCACAAGGUGAAGGUCAGUACUUGAGAGCGAUCAUUAUGCACACCCAGCAGGUAGCCUACAAUUUCAAAGUCUCUCACUUAGUUCCCUUUUUUUGCCAUACAGGUACACAUUCAACUCUUCUUGGAGGUCCCUGCUCUGUAUUUCCUCUGCAGGAAAGACUAGUUCCCCACCCCCACCCCCCCUCUCACUCCAUUCUCACAAACAUCAGUUGAUCUGGAGCACUUUCCCCACGCGUGGUUAAUCAGCCUUGCAUAUGAAAGACGAUGCCAAAUGCCCCAAACUAUAGCUGCAUCCACAAUCCAAAAACAUAUCCUAAUUCAGCAGCAAAACUAGGCAUAGACUCUAGUUCUUUGGUGUCAUGAUUUCUUGCAGUUUUUUUUUUUUUUUCCAUUCAUUACAUAGACACUACAUGAAAUCGAAAUGUUUGUUGGACCAAGUCACUACAUCUGUUGAGUACUUUGGUGUUCUACUAUACAGAAACAAGAAACCAUGCACACAAAUUUAAUCUGUUGUACCUGAAAUGACGAUUGGACAGGUACCUAUCAUGUAGUUAGCGAAAUGUACAAAAAAAUUUCAUUCUAUGUUCAGAACUGUACUAGUAAACCUGGGCAGCUUUUGGGUACAUUACCUGCAAAAUCCUAGACAAGAUAUAUAUCCUUUUGUUGAUAUAAAGAUGAUAAAAUAAUUGAUAAAAAUAUAGAAGACAAGCAGAAUCUCCUAGUUAUAUUCUAUAUUAUGAAGAAAAUUGGAUGAUGUAGACAAAUCUAUGAAGUAAUGAAUUAUUACCUAUUGCCAAUGAUAGCUAUGAAGACGUUUAGUUCCACCCAUAAAACAUCCUAGAAUUUGCAUAGCUAUAAACUCACAAUCAAGAAUUUUGAAAGAAUCAUCUGGCAAGCAAAUGGAAACAAUGGCCUUUCCUUUCAAAACAACUUUGGAGUUUGAGUGUGUUCCAGAAAGCCAGUAAAUACUUUCAUUUUAAAAGUAUUUGAAAAAUAAGAGGGAUCAUCUCGGUAGCUUAGAAGCCAGUUGACCUAAUGCUGACUUGGCAAAAUCAAAGCGUAAUCUAUUUGGGUUACACUCAGCUAAGAAAGGAAACAUAAUAGUAUUUGAUUUAAUUGAAUGAAAAAGAUCUCAUUAGAAGAAUUGCAUGUUCUUUUGUGGCAAUGUAAGUUUGGUACUUCAAGAUGGUCCAGGAUUAAUAUAGCAAGACUUGCAUCUAAGUACAACACAGCCUGGUCCUUUUGUAAAGGAAAAGAAAGGCAAUAGCUAAGUGCUACAGGAGGGAGCCAAGCCUUACUGGGAGACACCUACACCAGCUCAAUUAAAUUCAGUUGUUUGGAAAGAUGAAUACAGCAGCUCGAUCACGGGCAUGUAACUCAUUAGAAAAGAUUUUUGAUAGCAGAAGACUUUAAUGUACUGAAGAAAGGUGUAAUAAGACCUUAUGAGAAGGAAAAGAAAAUAAAAAAAGAAGAGAAUGGCAGCUUCAAUGGCAGUGAAAACCAGCAAAAUAAGCGACAUGGUUGAUCAACCAUAGGGCUUUAAAUUGUGCAAGUUUAAAAUCUUUCUUGAAGAUUUAACUGAAUUAUAGACCAGCAAUGCUAUCAUUAGUCAUGGCUGAGAUUCCAUUACCAUGUUGUGGGUGACUUUUCUAAAUGAUUUCCAGCCUACAUGAUGUUUCCUUUUAAAGCAAUGAGAAUUUGCAGAAUCCAGCUAAGAAGUGACAACCGAUUCAGGAAAGGACAAGGAGUGCUGCCACAUUCCAGCGAAGACUCAAGAUGCAAACUAACACACAACUCCAGAAUCAAUACCAAGUCUUCUUCGGUAUACACAUAGGGGAACAAAUGGAUUGGCAUUAAGAAGAAAAUGCGGAGUUAAAGAUUUCAGGAAGCUGAAGAGGAAGGACCACAGGAUCUUGCUGGAGAAUAUCCCAUUCCUGCAAGUGGAAGUUAAAUAUUUGAACUGCUGUCAGCUUGAGAAUACAAAUCUGACAAAGCCACACUCUGAAACUUGAGGCUUCUCCAUAGUGGAUAACUGUGUAUGGAUGUUAUGCUUUGCAUCCUGCAUGUAGCUACUAUACUGUUUCGGUUACCCUGAGGCACUCUGAAUGUGUUAAGCAGCCUCAGAAAUUCAAAGAGAAAGACCUGAUAAAAACUCAACUAGGUGACAAUGAGAAUGAAGUAUUUUUCAUUGUUUCUACCCAGAUUCCUGUUGCUGGUGUAAACAGAAAUAAGAAAUUCAACUGAUUGGGGGGGAAAAAAAAGUCCAGGAAUAAAGUGGCACUUCUGAAACUCAAUGGGAAAGCACCUUAAUAAAAGCCAGUUUCCUCCUGUGUGAUAGUAAGUUACAGAAACAGCAGCAAACUGCACAAACAUAAGCAGUACCUUUGAAAUUACCAGUAACAAAAGAAUUGUACAGCCUUAAAUACACAGACAUCCCUGUGCUUGGUAAUAGAUUCCAAGAAGGAAGGAUAGAAGACAUAAGAAAACAAUGCACCAAACAAGGGAAGGUGAUCUCAAGCACCUUUAACACAAAACAAACAAAACAACAACAAACCUCACAACACUGCAAGAAAUGUUUUAACUUGCAAGACAUUCCCCAAGGUAUUCAAGCAGUCAGCCAAAUAUCCUUCCCAUUUUCAAAAUUAAUUUCCUUAAAACUGGACGCUGCACCCAAAACAAGUCGAUUUCUCAGAGUUCAACACGAUGCAUACAAGACAUGGCAAUGUGAGUGCAAACUGGCAGUUUUAUAUGUUCGUAUUGAACAUGGGCCUGUGGAGGAGAGCUACAGGCAGUAAUAAACCUAUGCAUAGUCUGUGCUUCACAAAGCAAAUUCCAAGGUGAGCAAACUUGUGAACUGAGUUGUCUGGAAGAAAAAAAAAAAUGUAAGGCAGGAAAAUGUGAAUGAAAACUAUUCUUUAAUUAAAAUAUGAUUGUAUGGCCAAAAACAUCCCAAUUCCACAAAGCUUUCAGGAAAAGCUUGUUCUGGGUUCAGUGAGAAAGUCUGUGAGCAAGAAAAAACAACUGAAACAAGGGGGGAAAAAAAAGACAAAAGGCCAAAAUACAACACAUGGAAAAGGGGAAGGCCAGACAAAUGAGAUAAAACAAAUAUUAUUAGAUAGAGAAAAAAAAAACCCUCAAAAACUAGUAAGGAAAAAUUUGUGGCAAGCAAAACCACCGAUAAAAGGAAAGGAAUUUUGGAGCUUUCAUUUGUUUUUGUUUCAUGUGUUUUUGUUGGUUUUGGUUGUUGUUGUUGUUGUUGUUUUAAUAAAAAGCAGACAAAUAAAUACUGCUAAUAUCCAUGCUAAGUAAAAAUGAUUAAACUGCUAGAGAAUAAAGAAAAUCAGUCAGCAAAUACUUCUAAUCCCAUAGUCAGAAACAGAACGUGGCAGGAGUAUGAAAAUAGCAACUUCUCUUCAGUACCGUAGUAUCAAAGCAAGAAAUCAGACAACAUCUAUUGGGGACAUAUAUUUUUAAGUCAGUAAAGAAACAGUCCUAGAAGAGUGGACUAGCAAGCUCUCUAGCCCAGCAGUUCCAAUUUUAAUUAAAUGUGGGAUAUUAGAGAAAUACUGUAAGACAUUCACGACAGUAUUCCCAAAAUGCAAAUGAAAGGACUCAGCAUCAAAAUCAGUCUGAGGCAAAAUAAUGGAAAACCCGUUAAGAUGAAGAAUGAAUGAAUGAGUGAAGAAUGAAUCCUAUAACCCAAAGAUUUACGAAAUACAGGUUUUGUAGAGGGGAAAAAAAAAAUGAAACCCUGGAUUCAUUCAUUGAUGACAUCAUUAUACGUUUGGUUUAACAAAGGGGACUGCAUAGGUGCAACAUACUUAAAUUUUCAUAAGGCAUUGACCUAGCACCAUAAGUCAAAAAGAUUUACUGUACAUAAUCACAUACUAAGAGGAUUAAGAAAUGCCUUCUAGCCUGCAAGUCUCAAAAAGAAGCUAAUAAAAAGUUGCACUGAAUGAUGCUUUUCAAGUUAGUGUAGGUCAGAUGGAUCUGAAAGUUAAAAAGUAACAACUGAUACAGUUUGUGGGUGACAAAAACUGGCAAAAGUGGCUUGUGACCUGGACCACUAUAAGCCAGGUCAAACAAAAUGGACUUUGAGACCGUCUCACAUUAAACAAACAGGAAAUAAGAACUCUGACUAUAUAGAAAGGGGAAAAGAUUACCAUAGGAAGCUGAGAUUUCUGAUGAUUUAGAAUUGCACCAGAUAAGCAGCUAACAUGAGCUCCUGUAUAAUGCUGGAGAAAAGAGAAAAUGCAAUCCUCUGCAGACUUAAGGCAAAGGGAAGGGCAACCUUGUGCAUGGCACUGGAGAUUGAACACUUAAUUCAGAAAUGAAUGUUUUUACAGGAUUCAGAAAAAAUUGACAUGAUGUGAAAAUAAAAGACAAUAAUUCACAGGCAGGAGGAAAUCCUUUAUAGUGGAAGACUGAAGGAGUUCCCUCUACUUAGAUUGUAAAAAGUAGAUUUUGAGAGAUGCUAGUGUUUUAAAUACCAGGUCAGAGGAGGAAGCUCGAAGGUUCUCUAAAUCAGUAGGAUGGAUCUGAACUGGAAGCCAAAGGCAACCAAAUCCAAGAGAAACCAGACUUAGAUAUUUAGAGAGCAAGAACACAAAGCCCUUGCAGCGGGUUACCAAUGGAAGGGAUUUGCUGUAUCCCUGUGCCUCAAAAUCAAGCCAAUACAUUCUGUGAACGUGCACUUACAAUACACCUUAGCUAUCGAGGCUCAGUGCAGAAUAAAUAGCUUGAAAUGUCACCUGUAAAAUGUAGGAGUCAGGUAUUCUCUUCUAGCCUCAUCUGUGAACCUACAAAAAACUUCAGCCACUUGCAGCCAAGCCUGCUGACUAAACACAGAGAAGCAACUCUCUGCCACAGACUACCCAGGUGCAGAGCUCCAACUUUCACUACGCAAACCACAAGGCUGCCUGAAGACAGGGAUGCAUUACGGUGCUCGGUGCUUGCAGCAGCAAGAUGCUCGUGCUGCAGUCUGGUGCGUGGGGAAGGAACACACGGCACAGGGGCAGGGUGCCUGCAGUAGCACCUCUGAGGAGCCUUUUACACCAGUUUAUUUCUACACAAGGUGAUUAAAAAAAAAAAAGAAAAGCUCCUUUUGUUUGUUCGUACAGAAAUCUGAAACUAUAGGCUUUGAGUGGGUAUUUUAAAAUCCCAACACAUGCUUUUUUCCCUUGCCUUUUCAUUUGAGUCAGCCUCCACGAUCCAAAGGAACUAAGAAGUGAUACACAAGACCAUAGUCAUGUGGACCAAAAAAAAAAAAAAAAAAUUAAAACAAACAAACAAACCAAAA